CCUUCUCGUCAGUACCAAUACCUGCGUAUCUACCACGGCUCGAUUUCUGCCAGGACUUCGGACCGUCCGAGUCGAUCGCCUCACGAACACCAGUUCCCUCCUUGACGCUUGUAUUGCUUGGAACGGCCCAACAUUGAGCAGUAGAAGGUCGAGAAUCGGACUCGUUCCUCGGCCUCGCCUUCCCUCUCUCGCGCUCGGUAUUGGUUUCGCCUUGCGGAAGCUCUUGCUCUGGCUGUUUUCGCUGGUCCUUCACCGAGGCCGAUUCCGCUUUCUCGUCGGCGCCAAAACCCGCGCAUUCACCAGGGCUCAAUUUCCCCGAGGGCUUCGGCCCGUUCGAGUCGAUCGCCCGACGAACAUCACUCCCCUCCUUGCCGCUGGUAUGGCGUCGGACGGCCGAAGAAUUAGCAGGAGAAGGUCGAGAAUCGGACGCGUUCGUCGGUUUCGCUUUCGCUCUCUCGCGCUCGGUAUCGGUUUCGCCUCGCGGAAGCUCUUGUUCCGGCUGCUUUCGCCGGUCCUUCGCCAAGACCGAAUCCGCUUUCUCGUCGGCGCCAAAACCCGCGCAUUCACCGCGCCUCGAUUUCUCCGAGGGCUUCGGACCGUUCGAGUCGAUCGCGCGACCACCAUCACUCCCCUCCCUGCCGCUGGUAUGGCGUCGGACGGCCGAAGAAUUAGCAGGAGAAGGUCGAGAAUCGGACGCGUUCGUCGGUUUCGCUUUCGCUCUCUCGCGCUCGGUAUCGGUUUCGCCUCGCGGAAGCUCUUGUUCCGGCUGCUUUCGCCGGUCCUUCGCCAAGGCCGAUUCCGCUUUCUCGUCGGCGCCAAAACCCCCGCAUUCAUCGCGGCUCGAUUUCUCCGAGGGCUUCGGACCGUUCGAGUCG
rnacentral:lncRNA from 1 species